rnacentral:rRNA from 1 species
CAAACGACUCUCGGCAACGGAUAUCUCGGCUCUCGCAUCGGCAUCGACGUAGCGAAAUGCGAUACUUGGUGUGAAUUGCAGAAUCCCGUGAAUCAUCGAGUCUUUGAACGCAAGUUGCGCCCGAAGCCAUUAGGCCGAGGGCACGUCUGCCUGGGCGUCACGC